UAAGGAAUAUUGGUCAAUGGACGCAAGUCUGAACCAGCCAUGCCGCGUGAAGGAUGAAGGCCCUCUGGGUUGUAAACUUCUUUUAUCUGGGACGAAACCCUCGUUUUCUAACGGGAUUGACGGUACCAGAGGAAUAAGCACCGGCUAACUCCGUGCCAGCAGCCGCGGUAAUACGGAGGGUGCAAGCGUUAUCCGGAUUCACUGGGUUUAAAGGGUGCGUAGGUGGGUUGGUAAGUCAGUGGUGAAAUCUCCGUGCUUAACAUGGAAACUGCCAUUGAUACUACUGAUCUUGAAUUUUCUGGAGGUAAGCGGAAUAUGUCAUGUAGCGGUGAAAUGCUUAGAUAUGACAUAGAACACCAAUUGCGAAGGCAGCUUACUACAGGGAUAUUGACACUGAGGCACGAAAGCGUGGGGAUCAAACAGGAUUAGAUACCCUGGUAGUCCACGCCCUAAACGAUGGAUACUCGACAUUUGCGAUACACAGUAAGUGUCUGAGCGAAAGCAUUAAGUAUCCCACCUGGGAAGUACGACCGCAAGGUUG
rnacentral:rRNA from 1 species